rnacentral:rRNA from 1 species
UACGGAGGGUGCGAGCGUUGUUCGGAAUCACUGGGCGUAAAGCGCGCGCAGGCGGUCCUUUAAGUCUGAUGUGAAAGCCCUCGGCUCAACCGAGGAGGGUCAUUGGAAACUGGAGGACUUGAGUGCAGAAGAGGAAAGUGGAAUUCCAAGUGUAGCGGUGAAAUGCGUAGAGAUUUGGAGGAACACCAGUGGCGAAGGCGACUUUCUGGUCUGUAACUGACGCUGAGGCGCGAAAGCGUGGGGAGCAAACAGG